AGGUGCAUCUCAUACAUGCGCCAAGAAGACAACAUAUAUAAUAACAGAGUGUAUAGAGAUAAAUGCCAUAAAACAUCAGAGUAUUUAUUACAUAGCGGAAGACUUAUUACAAAAUAAAAUAAUGAAUAUAAAACGAACUAAGGAUCGUCGGCGCCAAUGUCAACUAAGAAACGCCACCUAGAUCAGAUCAAACUCCUCGCCUUGUGGCUCCUCCUGAACCACCUGUUCUUCUCCUGUGGGGGGGGGUGUGAGACAGCAAGGGUGAGCUCACACAUGAUCAUAGCUCAACAAGUUGUGGGGAACCAGUGGACAUAAACUCACAAAGGUGUGAGUUCAUGUGAUGUGUAAGGCUAAGCAAUGAUAGGGGUUAAAGCUGAGCAUUGCUUUUAAGUAGUUGGUCAAAAUUUUAUUAGCAGUUACUAAGUGUAAGUAAAUACCAAACCAUAAGUAAAGUAAUAGAACACAAUUUAUAAUAAACCCAUGCAAUGCAAAUGACAAAAUUGAAUUUAAGUUCCAUAAUUUAAACAUCAGAGAGUCCUGAGCUGCUCAUGACCGUGAGCUCGGCUAGUAUACCAGUUUUACACUCUGCAGAGGUUGUACCCUUUUACCCACAAGUCAUGUUACCCAUCUGCCAAGGGGUCGCGAAUCCCAUACACCUCUACCUAGGAAGCGCGGCAGGGCAACACUACGAGGCCUUUACAAAGUUCCACUAGCUUCCGAAAACCCGCUACAGUUUAUAGGAAGUUCCAAUGCAGGGUUCUUGCCUGACCGCCAUCGCAGCAAAAUCAAGCAAGGACCUCCCUACACUGACCACUCCCCUACUGCCCUUGCCCCUUUCGGGUAAGGUAGUCUUCCACUAGCUUUCCUAAUUAAUCAGCCAAGGGCGUCCCAUUAAACCCUUGUGGUGGCACGUGUUACUCAAGUUAAGCUCUAUGUUCCAAUUAACAUUAAUGAUCUCAACAUGAACAUAAAUAGAAUAACAAAAAGAAUUGGAACAUAGAGGUAAUAAAUGAUUAUCCCAAAACCAUGUAAAGCAAUAGCAAACUACCCAAGUGAUUCAGGGGUAAACAAGGUAAUGCGAUAAACAAUCUAGGGUGACCUAUUGGGUCCCAUCAAAAUUAACCUAUGCAUGGAUAAGUGAUAUUAAAGAACAUUAUUGGGUAAAAAGUGGUCAAGGGCACAACUUGCCUUCAAUGAGCUCCUGCUCAGCUACUUCAACCUGCUGCUCACCAGGAUCCUCAGCAACGGGCUCUUCUACUCGCCACAAUACAAACAAGCACAGUGUAUAUAGAGAAAUUAACAUUACACCAAACAUAUAAAUAAAAUUCACAGUAAUAAUCUACAUAUUAAAAUAAAAUCCUAGGAAUAGGAAUCAUAAUUUUUGGAGUUAUAGAAUUUAAGUUAUGGAUUUUCAAAGGUUUUAUGUGCUUUAAGUAAGAUUAAGUGUGAGGUUAAUUUUCUUACUGUUGUCAUGAUAAAACAGAGGCUCUAGAUGAUAGAGAAUAAAAUUACAAAAUUUUAGGAACUGGAAUGGAUUAAUUUGGAGUUAGUAUGAAUUUUCUAUGAAUUUAUAAAGUUUUAGUAAUUAUUUUCCUAUUAAAAAUCCAUUUAUAAAUUAUUUUCUCUGGUUUUACACUGCUCUGGACUGGGCCUCCAUUUCUGUGAACUACAGGGGCUUCGGAGUAAAACUCCGCAAACACAGAGCACAGCUCUCGUUGAUGGCGGGUUGAUUCUCUGGAAGCCCGAGGGCUCUUAAGCAAAACGCCAAGGCCGAAGGGGUAUGGACAGAUCCUAGCCGUUGGAUUAGAUGCGAACGAGCCAGAUUAGAUCAGCGCGGCUGCGAAUCGGUAUGCCACCAUGGCCCCUGGAUCCCGAUCCGACGAUCGCAGUUUAAUGAAAUCUAGAUCAGAUCUCCAUCGCUCGAUUCCCCCGCAACGACCCAGAUUCGCUCACGUGAAAGGGUAUCCCACUGUCUAAUCUCAGCCGUUCAGAGAUCAAUCAACGGUCGAAGUGUUUCUCCCCCAACCGAAACAGACGACGGCGGCGCCGCCAUGACUUCACGGCGGAGAGUCCACCGGAGAAUCCCGCCAGCGGUGUGGAUGCACAGAUUCCCAUGCCCUCUAGCGUACGGGUUACCCCAUGCCAUAGCCAAUGCGGUGGGGACCCUCACACCACCAGCAACCCGUCGGCUGCACCCACCCACGGCACGCGGCGGAUUUCUAGCCCCCGGUGAACAAUUAACGGAGCACAGGAGUUCGAUUCGGAGCUAAGACGAGCGCAAAAGAAAGAGUACACCUAGAGAGGUUAAUGGAGGGACUCACCAGCCGACUUGAGGUAUCGGGGAUGGCCGACCACGAGGUAGCGACGGUGAGGACCCCGCGACGGUGGAAUUCUUCCUCCAGGCAGCUCCCGGUGAGGGAUUUGGGGACGACGCGGGCGAGCACAGGUGCGAGGGGGUCACGGGGAUUCCUAUUUAACCCCCAAAGUCCAAGCCGGGGAGGAGAGGGAGGUCUUCACCCUGUUCCGCGGCGCUCGACGGCAAUCCCGCGCGGUUCGGUUGCGCCGGGGAAGACAGAGCUGCGUUCGGUUGAGGUGGAGACUGACAAGGCGGCCCCACGCGGCAGUGAGUGUGCGCGCGCAAACGGUAGGAUUGAACAGAGACUGACCCGCCGGCCCCACGUAGCAGCGACACACGGAGCGCGUGAUGCGGUGUGUGUAUGGCCAGCGGGCCCCGGGUGCAGAGAGCGCGAGCGCGCGGUGGAGGAGCCGCCUGGGCCGCGCGGGCGUGAUUCGGGGUUGGGCCGAAUUGGCGCCUGGUGGCCCAAUUAGGGUUAUACUCUUUUUCCUUUUUAUAUUUCCUAUUUUCUUUUCUUUUUUUUCUCUUAUUUUUGAAUCUAAGUUUGAAUUUCGAAUUUGAUGAACUUGUACUCAAAUUUUCUGAGUAUAUGAUUUGGAUAAAUCAUUUUGGAAUAAGUUUAUCUAUUUAUAAGUUUUAUUUUUGUAUUGCAUAGUAUUUUUCUUUCUUUCUUUCCAAAUUUUAAAAUUUCUUUUAGGAUUUAAUUCCCCAUUUGGAUAUUUAACAUUUUUCACAUUAUUAUAUGUUAAUACAAAAUGCACACAGAAUAAAAUCGAGCAUGAUGCAUAAUUUGGUAGUAUAUGUUUUUAUUAAUUGUUUUUGGGCAUGAUGCUCACAUAAGAUAAUGCAUAGAGAUCAAACUCACAUAAAGAGAUAUUGUUCCUCUACUGGUAUUAUUCCUAGCAAUUACAAAGUGGGUGUUACAAAUCCUACCCCCCUUAAAAAUAAUCUCGUCCUCGAGAUUUAAGAAGAUCUAGGGAAAAGAUGGGGAAAAUCUACGCGAAGCUCUUCUUCUCUUUCCGAAGUUGCUUCAUCUUCACCGUGGUGACUCCAUUGCACCUUGCACAUCUUUAUCACCUUAUUUCUUGUCACUCGAGUCAAUAUAUCCAAAAUCUUGAUCGGGUACUCCGUGUAAGUCAAAUCACCUUGAACACUGAGCUCCUCCAUUGGUAACUGUUCCUCAGGGACACGGAGACACUUCUUUAGUUGAGAUACGUGGAACACGUUAUGCACAUCCGAUAAACUAUCCGGUAACUCGAGUUGGUAUGCCAUCUCCCCAACUCUUCUAAAGAUCAAGAAUGGUCCAAUGUAGCGAGGGGACAAUUUGCCCUUGACUUUAAAUCUCCUCAUUCCACGAAGUGGUGACACCUUGAGGUACACAUAAUCUCCUUCUUCAAAUUCCAGUGGUCUUCUUCUAUUAUCAGCAUAACUCUUUUGCCUGGUUUGAGCCACUCUCAAAUUCUCUCGAAUUAUACGGACUUGUUCUUCUGCUUCUUGAAUCAAUUCAGGCCCAAAGAACUGUCUUUCUCCAGUCUGAUCCCAAUACAAAGGAGUCCUGCACUUCCUCCCAUAUAAAGCUUCAAAAGGUGACAUCUUCAGACUGGCCUGGUAACUAUUAUUAUAUGAGAACUCAGCAUACGGUAGACUUUUAUCCCAACUUCCUCCAUGUUGAAGGGCACAAGCUCUCAACAUAUCCUCCAAAACUUGAUUUGUCCUUUCAGUCUGUCCAUCAGUCUGAGGGUGAUAAGCUGUACUGAAAUUCAACUUCGUACUCAUGUUCUCAUGAAAUCUUCUCCAAAAUCUUGAGGUAAACUGCGAACCUCGAUCAGACACGAUCUUCUUUGGUACUCCAUGCAAACACACAAUCCGAGCCAUAUAUAACUCUGCUAGCUGAGAACCUUUAUAAGUAGUCUUCACAGGAGUAAAGUGAGCCACUUUAGUCAAUCUAUCCACAAUCACCCAUAUAGCAUCAUAUCCUUUCUGGGUGCGAGGCAAUCCAGUAAUGAAAUCCAUACCAAUCUCUUCCCAUUUCCACUCGGGUAUCUUCAGUGGAUGCAAUAGUCCAGCUGGCCUCUGGUGUUCAGCCUGAACUCUUUGACAUAUAUUGCACAUAGCCACAUGUGCAGCCACAUCUCUCUUCAAUCCAUACCACCAAUACUUCCGCUUCAAAUCCUGAUACAUCUUAGUACUACCAGGAUGAAUAGAAUAAUCCGAAUCAUGAGCCUCCUUUAAAAUAGUCUCUCGAAGGCUUUUAAUAUCAGGAACACACAUCCUGUUCUUGAACCAUACAGUGCCUUGCUCAUCUUUCGUAAAUUCCGGAACUCGACCUUCAGUAAUCAGAUCCUUAAUCUCUUUUAUUUUAGCAUCCUCAAGUUGACCUUUGCGGACUUCUUGCUCCAAGGUAGGUUCCACAUCAAUAGUGACGCCUUCAGUAUGAGCAACUAUCCCUAGGUUAAGUCUCCUGAAAUCCUCAACAAUCUCAUCGGGUAGCUGGGCAACAAUAGCUAAAUGAACAUGCUCCUUGCGACUCAAGGCAUCUGCAACCAAAUUUGCCUUGCCCGGGUGAUAGUGAAUCUCCAAAUCAUAAUCCUUAAUAAGCUCCAACCAACGACGUUGCCUAAGGUUGAGAUCCUUCUGAGUGAAUAUAUACUUCAAACUCUUAUGAUCCGUAUAUACUUGGCACUUGGUCCCCAUGAUAUAAUGUCUCCAAAUCUUGAGCGCAUGCACAACGGCUGCUAAUUCCAAGUCAUGAGUGGGGUAGUUCAAUUCAUGUUUCCGCAACUAACGAGAAGCAUAUGCAAUCACAUGACCUUCCUGCAUGAGCACACAUCUGAAAGGGAAAUGUGCCCUUGGGCCAUUUCUAAGUAUUUUGGUGAUUUAGUGUCCAACACAAGUGCCUAAGUGUAAAGAGGUGGACAAAGUACAAAUCAAGGAUAAAGGUAUGUUUCUCAGACUUAGUACAUUGUUUUAUGGACUAAUUUAUUGUGUCUAAGUGCUGGAAACAGGAAAAAUCCAAUUUCGGAUGAUAUACACUAAUCAGGAAUCAAUGAGACCAAGACUGGAGAAGAAAAGAUCGACAUCGAUAAGGAAGGAUAUAACAGUCAAAGCGAAUCUCGAGAUGAAUCAAGAUUCAAAUAUUUCGGAUGAAGUCUUCUCCUUGCCAUAAUCUUUCUUACCACAACCUGUCCAGCUUAUAUCCACAUAAUAAGUAGCCGGAUACCUAUGCUCUCCUAAUCAACCCCUAUUGACUAUAAAAAAAUGAAACUCUAGAUUUUUGAACCAAUUAUAGAUUAAAAGCUAAAUUACAAACAGAUCCUUAUGUAUCCCUUUUUCUUACAAAUCUCGAGGACGAGAUUUCUGUUAAGGGGGGUAGAAUUUGUAGCACCCAAUAUUCUGAUUUUGGGAUUAGUAAAAUCUUUCUAAACCAAAGUAAAGUGACCCUGAUGAAUAUUUACACUUAGGAGUUCACCCCUUCUAAAAAUAAAUAGUAAUAUUAAAAUAAUGUCAGUCUGUGAGUUUCAAGAAAUAAAUAAGAACAUCCUUGUAUGAGUUAAGAUAUUCAUAAAUGUUCUAAAAACGUUUAGUUUAAAGUCUCUUAAUAGAGAUUAUUCCUUAAAAAGUAUCUUCUAUUAAAAUAAAUAAGUAAUGAAUAUUGGUGCACUUUUAAUUGGACCACACGCAAUGUGGUAUUGCGUUUGUAUAUAUUGUUUGUGUAUAUGAACUAUAUAUUUAAAAGUAUUUGGAUAAGUGAAUAAGAUAAAUGAAUAAAUAGUACAAAAUUCUAAUUUACAUGCUCGAUCAUUAUUGAAUGAUGCAUCUUUUUUUCUUGGAAUUUGAAUUGAAACAAAAAAAACAAAUUAGAAAAGGAAAAGAAAAAAAGAAGAAGGCCAUACCUGUUGCCGACCAGGCCAAAAAAACGCUCUCCGUUUUUUUUCCUGCUGGCCGCAGCAUGCAACUGUGUGGGACCCACGCAAUUGAGCCCCCUUCUCCCUCCGUAUUGCUCGCAUCCAUCGUAACAACCUCACGAAGUGCUUAAUCCAAUCCUCCACCCACGUCGUGGAUAAAAGCAAGGCCAUGACCCCCCUGCGCAUAUCUGCCUACCCAUGCGGUCCUCCCCCAAACGUCUUCAUCAUGGACGAAGCCAAGAAGCUGCCAGCGUUGAUCCACACAUAUCGUUCGGUCCUCCUCUGGCGCUAAGAGAUUUGCUGCCGAUGCCGCGAUUCACGCGCUGAACCAGCGUUCCGUUGCCGUUUUCCUGGACCGAUGGCUAGUAUUUAGGGCUCGUUUGGUAGAGCUCCACUCUAUGAUUCUCUAGCUCCGAGAGCUGAUUCUCUAAUGGAGUGAUUCUGGGCGAUUCUCUGGUAGGAGUGAAUUUGUUGAUGAAUUGCGUUUGGCUGCUAGUUGUACCCAAGCUUGUUUAAGUGAGAACCUGAUCUGUUCUUUGCUCUUACUUCCUCAGCAAAUAUUUCACAAGCUAUCUUAACAUUUUCAUCGCACCAGUCUGCAUUAUCCUCCUUCAUGGUGCUGUUAUUGCCACAACCAUGAAUAAUAAAAAAAAGAUAAAUCAAAGUGCUAGCUCUUCUAACAUGGAAAACAACAGGUAUAAAGCAGCAAGCAUAGAUUGAUGAUGAGCUUCUCGACUUGUGAUUUUAUUUAUUUUUUCGUGCAGAACAUUUCUAGAAAUGGUGCUGCUGGACUGGACGUGUGAACUUUGGAUUUUCACAGCUUCUAUACUCGUGUGCAAAGAUUUUCUUAAAAAUGAUUUUCAAAUCAAGAAACCAAUAGACACCGCAGGAGCUAGAGCAGAAGGAAAAAACACUCGCGUCCUCACCUCAAUCGGCUACAGAUUAGAGGGAGAGAGGAAUGCAACUUCACCUUGCACACUGAAAGACGCGAGACGAAGAGAUGGCGUAGUAGUGGACGGAAGGGGCUUGGGAGUGUUCUGGACGGAAGGGGCGGCAGCCUGGAUCUCCAGCGUCCUAGGCUAGUAGCGGCUGGUAGCUUGGCGCCGCCGCGCCGCCUCCAACCCUAAUGGCCACGGUCUGGACAAAAGCCAGGCUGGGCUUGUGGCUGG
rnacentral:lncRNA from 1 species